GAUGAACGCUAGCGGCAGGCUUAAUACAUGCAAGUCGAGGGGCAGCACGGUUAGCAAUAACUGGUGGCGACCGGCGCACGGGUGCGUAACACGUAUACAAUCUACCUUAAACAGGGGAUAGCCUUUCGAAAGAGAGAUUAAUACCCCGUAAUAAAUUGAACGGCAUCGUUUGAUUUUGAAAGCUCCGGCGGUUUGAGAUGAGUAUGCGUCUGAUUAGCUAGUUGGUGAGGUAACGGCUCACCAAGGCGACGAUCAGUAGGGGAUCUGAGAGGACUAACCCCCACACUGGUACUGAGACACGGACCAGACUCCUACGGGAGGCAGCAGUAAGGAAUAUUGGACAAUGGGCGAAAGCCUGAUCCAGCCAUGCCGCGUGAAGGAUGAAGGCGCUCAGCGUUGUAAACUUCUUUUGGACGGGAACAAUAUCCCCGACUUGUCGGGGCUUGAGGGUACCGUCAGAAUAAGCACCGGCUAACUCCGUGCCAGCAGCCGCGGU
rnacentral:rRNA from 1 species